UACGUAGGUGACAAGCGUUGUCCGGAUUUACUGGGCGUAAAGAGCGCGCAGGCGGUCGAUCAAGUCGAGUGUGAAAGCCCCCGGCUCAACUGGGGAGGGUCAUUCGAUACUGAUCGACUCGAAGGCAGGAGAGGGUAGUGGAAUUCCCGGUGUAGUGGUGAAAUGCGUAGAUAUCGGGAGGGACACCAGUGGCGAAGGCAGCUCUCUGGGACGGUACUGACGCUGAGGUGCGAGAGCGUGGGGAGCGAACCGG
rnacentral:rRNA from 1 species